rnacentral:rRNA from 1 species
UACAGAGGUCUCAAGCGUUGUUCGGAUUUAUUGGGCGUAAAGAGCUCGUAGGCGGUUUGUCGCGUCGGCCGUGAAAUCUCCACGCUUAACGUGGAGCGUGCGGUCGAUACGGGCAGACUUGAGUUCGGUAGGGGAGACUGGAAUUCCUGGUGUAGCGGUGAAAUGCGCAGAUAUCAGGAGGAACACCGGUGGCGAAGGCGGGUCUCUGGGCCGAUACUGACGCUGAGGAGCGAAAGCGUGGGGAGCGAACAGG